AGUGGGCGUGCAGGAGAAGCUGUAGGUCAGGAGGUAGAGUUGGCAGUGGGCGUGCAGGAGAAGCUGUAGGUCGGAGAGGUAGAGGUGGCAGUGGGCGUGCAGGAGAAGCUGUAGGUCAGGGGGUAGAGGUGGCAGUGGGCGUGCAGGAGAAGCUGUAGGUCAGAGUGGAUAGGUGGCAGUGGGCGUGCAGGAGAAGCUGUAGGUCAGGAGGUAGAGGUGGCAGUGGGCGUGCAGGAGAAGCUGUAGGUCAGGAGGUAGAGGUGGCAGUGGGCGUGCAGGAGAAGCUGUAGGUCAGGAGGUAGAGUUGGCAGUGGGCGUGCAGGAGAAGCUGUAGGUCGGAGAGGUAGAGGUGGCAGUGGGCGUGCAGGAGAAGCUGUAGGUCAGAGAGGUAGAGGUGGCAGUGGGCGUGCAGGAGAAGGUGUAGGUCGG
rnacentral:lncRNA from 1 species